rnacentral:tRNA from 1 species
UUCCUUGUGGCAUAGUGGUUUGAGUAUUGGACUACAACUCUGGAGACCAGGGUUCGAUUCCCAGCUCGGCCA